GGCAACGCGGAGAUCAUCAAAUACCUCAAGCAGGUCAAAUAGCGGAAAACUGAAAUAUGAACAGAAAAUCCUGCAGGUCAGACAGCAUCUGAGGAGAGAGAAGCAGAGCUAAUGUUUCAGGUUUCUCUCAAGAUUCGGAAAGAUCAUUACUUCCACUGAGCCAUUUCUUCAAAUCAAGUUGUACGAUCAAAUCUAUUCUCAGCUCGAUGUACGUGUUCCGCUAUAACCAGACUUUAGGAGAUUCACAAGGAGUGAACUUAAAAUAUUCCCUGUCUCCCUGUAGAUGCUGUUGGACCUGCUGAGGUUUUCCAGCAUUUUGUGCUUUUGUUUGAGUUAAAGCUGUGUUGAUAUUCUUCAUGCUGAUGGAACAAGCAUUGUGAUUUCUGCAAAGUUGGAUUUGUUCUCACGCACAAAGAACUGAUGAAUCAACCAGAAUACACCUAUGGAGUGCAGUGACAUUUGAUGAGAUACUGGCAGAUGCUGAACAUGUUGAGGUCUGUAAUAUUUUGUCAGUGAUGCUGUGCAAUUUACAUGCCUCUUUCAUGCUGAUUGGCAUCGCUGACAACCAGUGAGAAACUCAAAGUCCUGAGAAGACUCUGCAUAAUUCUCUUGGCCCUGAAAUGACAGAACCCUUGUGUUUUGGCUUGAUGAAUAACUCACAGUCUGUGUUAUAAUGUACUGUUUGUGGCAGCAGUUGGUUCACUAUCCGCUUCAUGAUACAUAUCCACUGAAUCAGGAACAAGUGAGUCUUAACUACAAAGGGUGGUGAGAAAAACGGAUUUAAUGCUUCAACAGCUAUAACAUGGUAGGAAUGUCAAAUUGUACACACACACAGAAAGUGAAACUUCUGUAUCUCUGAGAUUAUGAAUGUCUUAAAACGAUGAGGCACAUUCCUGUCAGUUAUAACUAAUUAUUUUGCACUGUAAAUAUUAAAGUGACAACAUUUGA